AUGUCACUGAGGCGGAGCAGGAGUGGCACCAACAGCAUGGGCAGGUGGUGCAAUACAGUAUUUUGGGCAGCAUCCUGGGCAGCCCCCAUCCGGACCUGCAUUGGUUCCCCACGUGCCGCUACAUAACACGUUUGAGACUCUGGAACCUGAGGGAGAGGAAGAAGACUGGUGUGGAUGAACACAGAGCUCUUCCUGAGGCUUGAGGAGAAAAUUUUCCUUCCACAGAAGAAGGGACAGGAAGCUUGAGCAUUCCUUGUCAACUGAAGAGGUUCCAGAGGGUUGGAGGCUUGCCAGUAUGACUUCCAUGUACAGGAAAAGUCAUGAAGAAGAUCUGGAGAACUGCAGGCCUGUCAGCCUGACCCCAGUGCCGGAAAGGUUAUGGAGCAGGUCAUCUUGAUGGAGAUCACAUAGCAUGUGCAGGACAACCCGGCCAUCAAGCCUUACCCGACAUGGGUUCAUGAAAGGCAGGUCCUACUUGACCAACCUAAUCUCCUUCUAUGAGUGACCUGCUUGGUGCAUGAGGGAAAGGCUGUUGACUUAGUCUACCUAGACAUCAUCAAAGCCUUCAGUACUAUCUCCCACAGUAUUCUUCUGGAGAAGCUACAGCCCAUGGCUUGGACAGGUACACUGGAUAGAUAGGCCUAGAGAGUGGUGGUGAAUGGAGUCACAUCUAGCUGGUGACCGGUCACAAGUGGUGUUCCUCAGGCUGUUGGUACUGGGGCCUAUCUUAUUCAGUAUCUUUAUUGAUGACCUGGACAAGGGUGUUGAGUGCACCCUCAGUAAGUUUGGAGAUGAGACCAAGCUGGGAGGAAGUGUUGAUCUGUCUGGGGGUAGGAAGGCCCUAUGGAGCAAUCUGGGCAGGCUGGAUUGCUGAGCUGAGGCUAACGGGAAUAAGUUCAACAAGGCCAAGUUCUGGAUCUUGCACUUUGGCCACAACGACCCCAGACACCACUGUCAGCUUGGGGCAGAGUGUCUGGAAGACUGUGUGGAAGAUAUGGAUCUGGGUGUGCUGGUUGAUGCUCGGCUGAACAUGAGCCAGCCGUGUUCCCAGGUGGUCAGGAAUGCUAAUGGCAUCCUGGCUUGUAUCAGAAAUAGCGUUGUCAGCAGAGGCAGGGAAGUGAUCAUCCCUCUGUACUCAGCCCUGGUGAG